CCGCGGCAUGUGGAAUCCUCCCGGACCAGCACACGAACCCAUGUCCCCUGCAUCGGCAGGUGGACUCUCAACCACUGCGCCACCAGGGAAGCCCCCUGGAAUUUCUUUUCUUGCUCUCAGAUUCAAGGAGAUUUAAAAAGGAAACUCCCAAGGCUUUUGAAAUGUGGAGGCUCUGGGGCCUGGGACCGGGUAGAGAAGAAUAUCGCUCCAAGGCGAGGAUCCAAGGUGACAAAAUCCUGGGAAGCAAGACCAGGGCUCCUGAAUCCGCAGGCAGAAAAGGGAAGCAGAUGUUUGGUCCCGACGCCUGUGAAGACACAUCUCUCCUCGGAGGGCUGCCUCUGAGUCAAGGAAAGGGAAGCUGGAAAGCAUCAUAUUCCCUGCCUGAAACGAGGAGUGAGGGGGAGAAAAUAGGAGAACCAACACAAGGAAAUGAACGUUUAUAAACCGCACUUUGGAGACGCCCAGGGGAUUGGGUCUGCACCCUGCCUCUCCCCUGAACCCCCAGGAACCCCCGACCUGCCCCUCUGCAGGCGUGUUGAGCUCACAGCAGGCGUGAAUGGGCCUGGAGUCCCCU